rnacentral:rRNA from 1 species
CGGAGGAUGAGUGAGGACAAGGAAUCUGCAUGGUAGUGGGGGAUAACGUCCGGAAACGGGCGCUAAUACCGCAUACGUCCUGAUGGAAAAAAUGGGGGAUCUUCGGACCUCACGCUAUCAGAUUAUCCUAUGUCGGAUUACCUAGUUGGUGGGGUAAAGGCCUACCAAGGCCACGAUCCCUAACUGGUCUGAGAGGAUGAUCAUGCACACUGGAACUGAGACACGGUCCAUACUCCUACGGGAGGAAGCCGUGGGGAAGAUUGGACAAGGGGCCAAAGCCUGAUCCAGCCAUGCCGCGUGUGUGAAGAAGGUCUUCGGAUUGUAGUGCUCUUUAAGUUGGGAGGAAGGGCAGUGAGUUAAUACCUUGCUGUUUUGACGUUACCAUCAUAAUAAGCACCGGCUAACUUCGUGCCAGCAGCCGCGGUAAUACGAAGGGUGCAAGCGUUAAUCGGAAUUACUGGUCGUAAAGCGCGCGUAGGUGGUUCAGCAAGUUGGAUGUGAAAUCCCCGGGCUCAACCUGGGAACUGCAUCCAAAACUACUGAUCUAAAGUACGGUAAAUGGUGGUGGAAUUUCCUGUGUGGCGGUGAAAUGCUUAGAUAUAGGAAGGAACACCAAUGGCGAAGGCGACCACCUGGACGGAUACUGACCUUCAGAUGCAGACAAACAAAUGCACA